AUGAACGCUGGCGGCGUGCCUAAUACAUGCCAGUCGAGCGAACAGACGAGGAGCUUGCUCCUCUGACGUUAGCGGCGGACGGGUGAGUAACACGUGGAUAACCUACCUAUAAGACUGGGAUAACUUCGGGAAACCGGAGCUAAUACCGGAUAAUAUAUUGAACCGCAUGGUUCAAUAGUGAAAGACGGUUUUGCUGUCACUUAUAGAUGGAUCCGCGCCGCAUUAGCUAGUUGGUAAGGUAACGGCUUACCAAGGCAACGAUGCGUAGCCGACCUGAGAGGGUGAUCGGCCACACGGGAACGGAGACACGGUCCAGACUCCUACGGGAGGCAGCAGUAGGGAAUCUUCCGCAAUGGGCGAAAGCCUGACGGAGCAACGCCGCGUGAGUGAUGAAGGUCUUCGGAUCGUAAAACUCUGUUAUUAGGGAAGAACAAAUGUGUAAGUAACUAUGCACGUCUUGACGGUACCUAAUCAGAAAGCCACGGCUAACUACGUG
rnacentral:rRNA from 1 species